rnacentral:rRNA from 1 species
AACGAACGUUAGCGGCGCGCCUAACACAUGCAAGUCGAACGCGAUUGGGGGCAACUCCAGUCGAGUGGCACACGGGUGAGUAACACGUAGGUAAUCUCCCCCCGAGUGGUGGAUAACCCUCCGAAAGGAGAGCUAAUACAGCAUGAGACCACGGCUUCGAAAGGGGCUGAGGUCAAAGCGGAGGUCGCAAGACUUCGCGCUUGGGGAUGAGCCUGCGGCCCAUCAGGUAGUUGGCGGGGUAAUGGCCCACCAAGCCAUAGACGGGUAGCUGGUCUGAGAGGAUGAUCAGCCAAACUGGAACUGGGACACGGUCCAGACUCCUACGGGAGGCAGCAGUGGGGAAUCUUGCGCAAUGGACGAAAGUCUGACGCAGCGACGCCGCGUGGGUGAUGAAGGCCUUCGGGUUGUAAAGCCCUGUGGGGAGGGACGAAUAAGUUCCGGUCAAUACCCGGAGCGAUGACGGUACCUCCUUAGCAAGCACCGGCUAACUCUGUGCCAGCAGCCGCCGUAAUAC